AUGGCGUCCUCUCUCCCAUCCUCGUCGUCGUCUGCACCCAAAGCCGACGACGAGGCAGCGUCCCACAAAGAAAUUUACGACCAACUCCGAGAGGUCGUGUCCACGUACCCGACGACUCCGAGGCUCAGCGGCAUCGGCCGCCCGUACGUCUGCCACCCGGACGGCUGGUACGCGUUCACGCCGGGGGUGCUGAACGCCAUGGUGAUCAAACGGCACCUCGAGGCGCGCGACACCGACGUCCUCCUCGCCACCUUCCCCAAGUCCGGCACCACCUGGCUCAAGGCGCUCCUGUUCGCGGCCCUCCACCGUACCGCCGACGACCGUCUCGCGGCCCACAGCCCCCACCAGCUCGUCCCAUUCCUGGAGGCCCGAGUCUUCACCAACGGCCGGAUCCCCGACCUGAGCUCCCUCCCGGCGCCGCGGCUGCUGAUGACGCACAUCCCGUCCGUGUCGCUGCCGGAGUCCGUGGCCGCAUCCGGCUGCAAGGUGGUGUACCGUGUACGGACCCCAAGGACUGCCUCGUGUCGCUCUGGCACUUCUGGAACGGAGCACGCGCUGGGGUACUGGCGCUGGCACUUGGAGAGGCCGGCGCAGGUGCUGUUCCUGACCUACGAGGAGCUCGCCGCGGACACGCUCGGCCAGCUGAGGCGCCUCGCGGGGUUCGUCGGACGCCCGUUCACGGCGGAGGAGCGGGAGGCGGGGGUGGACAGGGGGAUCGUGGAGGCCUGCGCCAUGGAGAGCCUGGCGGGGCUGGAGGUGAACCGGUCUGGGAAGACCGACAUGGCCGAGUCGUCGGUGCCCAACAACGUUUUCUUCAGGCGCGACGUCGUUGGGGAUUGCAAGAACCACCUGACGCCGGAGAUGGCGAGGAGGCUCGAUGAAAUCACCGAGAGCAAGUUCAGGGGCUCUGGCUUGGUGUUGCCACGGGCAACCACACAUCUGGGGCGUGUUUGGUUAGUUUCUCCAUCAGGCCUGGCUAGGAGAGCAAAAACGAGCCAGGCUGAGCAGGGUCUGGGUAAAGAAAAACAAGGCCAAAAACGUAGAUGA
rnacentral:rRNA from 1 species